rnacentral:rRNA from 1 species
CCAAUAGCGUAUAUUAAAGUUGUUGCAGUUAAAAAGCUCGUAGUUGAAUUUCGGGGUUAGUAAGUUGGUCAUGCCUUUGGUAUGCACUGGCUUUACUGAUUCCUCCUUCUUGACGAACCGUGAUGUCAUUAAUUUGGUGUUGCGGGAAAUCAGGACUGUUACUUUGAAAAAAUUAGAGUGUUUAAAGCAGGCUAACGCUUGAAUACAUUAGCAUGGAAUAAUGAAAUAGGACGUUAAUCCUAUUUUGUUGGUUUCUAGGAUCGACGUAAUGAUUAAUAGGGAUAGUUGGGGGCAUUAGUAUUCAAUUGUCAGAGGUGAAAUUCUUGGAUUUAUUGAAGACCAACUACUGCGAAAGCAUUUGCCAAGGAUGUUUUCAUUAAUCAAGAACGAAAGUUAGGGGAUCGAAGACGAUCAGAUACCGUCGUAGUCUUAACCAUAAACUAUGCCGACUAGGGAUCGGAUGAUGUUAAUUCUUUAAUGACUCAUUCGGCGCCUUACG